GAUGAACGCUAGCUACAGGCUUAACACAUGCAAGUCGAGGGACCGGCGUACGGGUGAGUAACACGUAUCCAACUUGCCCUUUACUCGGGGAUAGCCUUUCGAAAGUAAGAUUAAUACUCGAUGUAAAGGAUGGUGAUGCGUUCCAUUAGGUUGUUGGUGAGGUAACGGUUCACCAAGCCUUCGAUGGACAGGAGUUCUGAGGGGAGGGUCCCCCACGUUGGAACUAAGACGCGGUCCAGAAACCUACGGGGGACAGCAGUAAAGAAUAUUGGUCAAUGAACGUUGACCUGAACCAGCCGAGUGACGGUAAGGAUGAAGGCUUAUGGGUCGUAAACUGCUUUUAUAUAAGAAUAUGUAUUAUAUGAAUAAGGAUCGGCUAACUCCGUGCCAGCAGCCGCGGUAAUAC
rnacentral:rRNA from 1 species